rnacentral:rRNA from 1 species
GCGAGCGGCGGACGGGUGAGUAAUGUCUGGGGAUCUGCCUGAUGGUGGGGGAUAACUACUGGAAACGGUAGCUAAUACCGCAUAACGUCGCAAGACCAAAGUGGGGGACCUUCGGGCCUCACGCCAUCGGAUGAACCCAGAUGGGAUUAGCUAGUAGGUGAGGUAAUGGCUCACCUAGGCGACGAUCCCUAGCUGGUCUGAGAGGAUGACCAGCCACACUGGAACUGAGACACGGUCCAGACUCCUACGGGAGGCAGCAGUGGGGAAUAUUGCACAAUGGGCGCAAGCCUGAUGCAGCCAUGCCGCGUGUGUGAAGAAGGCCUUCGGGUUGUAAAGCACUUUCAGCGGGGAGGAAGGCGAUAAGGUUAAUAACCUUGUUGAUUGACGUUACCCGCAGAAGAAGCACCGGCUAACUCCGUGCCAGCAGCCGCGGUAAUACGGAGGGUGCGAGCGUUAAUCGGAAUUACUGGGCGUAAAGCGUACGCAGGCGGUCUGUUAAGUCAGAUGUGAAAUCCCCGGGCUUAACCCGGGAACUGCAUUUGAAACUGGCAGGCUAGAGUCUCGUAGAGGGGGGUAGAAUUCCAGGUGUAGCGGUGAAAUGCGUAGAGAUCUGGAGGAAUACCGGUGGCGAAGGCGGCCCCCUGGACGAAGACUGACGCUCAGGUACGAAAGCGUGGGGAGCAAACAGGAUUAGAUACCCUGGUAGUCCACGCUGUAAACGAUGUCGAUUUGAAGGUUGUGGCCUUGAGCCGUGGCUUUCGGAGCUAACGCGUUAAAUCGACCGCCUGGGGAGUACGGCCGCAAGGUUAAAACUCAAAUGAAUUGA